rnacentral:rRNA from 1 species
GACAACGGGUAGCCGGCCUGAGAGGGCGUCCGGCCGCUCUGGGACUGAGACACCGUCCAGACUCCUACGGGAGGCAGCGGCGGGGAAGAUUGCGCACUGGGGGGAACCCUGUUGCACCGACGCCGCGUGCGGGAUGACGGCCUUCGGGUUGUAAACCUUUUUCAGUAGGAAAGAAGCGAAAGUGACGGUACCUGCAGAAGAAGUACCGGCUAACUACAUGCCAGAAUCCUCGGUAAUACCUAGGGUACAAGCGCUGUCCGGAAUUAUUGGGCGUAAAGAGCUCGUAGGUGGUUGGUCACC